CGCCCGGAACUGGCUUGACUCUCCCGGCCGCCGUAGCCCGGGGCUGGGGACCGUUGCCCCGAGCACUCACCUGAGCUGAGGAGAACUGAGGUACUUAGGCCAGGCUUCGAGUCGUUCGUUCGAAGUUUCAGUCAGUCAUUCCUUGAGGGAACGCAGAAAACCACACCCAAGUGAAUUCAGCCCGUGGAAUACACAAAACGAGUGUGUGCAUCAGCCAGAUAUCGACCAGCCACCUCAGUUCACCUCGAAUUGGAAGUGUGCCUGCCUGCUUAGUCGGUUUAGUUGUGUCUGACUUUGCGACACUAUGGACUGUAGCCUGCCAGUCUCCUCUGUCCAUGGGAUUCUCCAGGUUAGUGCUGACCGUCUUUCCUGGCUCUGUCUCCACUUGGAUGUUGUUAAGACAGGAAGAGCAUCUCAGCAACCAGCUCCUCUGCUCUGUACCAACUCACGCGGGCCUCCAUGGCCAUGAACAUUUUCCUUACUGAGACUCACAGUGGAUCUCCAGUUGCCCAAUUAUCACAACACUGACUUAGUGUUACCAGGAACAGCUAUGGCCUCAUUCUCUGAAUUCCCCUAAAAACAAGUAUACUAUCAAGGGUGAAACAGAUCACCAGUCCAGGUUGGAUGCAUGAGACAAGUGCUCAGGGCUGGUGCACUGGGAAGA